GACGAACGCUGGCGGCGUGCUUAACACAUGCAAGUCGAACGGAAAGGCCCUGCUUUUGUGGGGUGCUCGAGUGGCGAACGGGUGAGUAACACGUGAGUAACCUGCCCUUGACUUUGGGAUAACUUCAGGAAACUGGGGCUAAUACCGGAUAGGAGCUCCUGCUGCAUGGUGGGGGUUGGAAAGUUUCGGCGGUUGGGGAUGGACUCGCGGCUUAUCAGCUUGUUGGUGGGGUAGUGGCUUACCAAGGCUUUGAAGGGUAGCCGGCCUGAGAGGGUGACCGGCCACAUUGGGACUGAGAUACGGCCCAGACUCCUACGGGAGGCAGCAGUGGGGAAUAUUGCACAGUGGGCGGAAGCCUGAUGCAGCAACGCCGCGUGCGGGAUGACGGGCUUCGGGUUGUAAACCGCUUUCGCCUGUGACGAAGCGUGAGUGACGGUAAUGGGUAAAGAAGCACCGGCUAACUACGUG
rnacentral:rRNA from 1 species